UUUCGGGGUUUCUGGGUGUCACGCAAAUCUCGGUGGGACCUCCAAAUGAAAGAACCUAGUGGGGAACCCCCCCACUCAAUUCCCAAUUCAGUGAGCACCCAAGAAUCACGAACAGAACA
rnacentral:pre_miRNA from 7 species